rnacentral:rRNA from 1 species
GAUGAACGCUGGCGGCGUGCCUAACACAUGCAAGUCGAACGGAGAUUACGGACGGAAGUUUUCGGAUGGAAGCCUGUAAUUCUUAGUGGCGGACGGGUGAGUAACGCGUGGGCAACCUGCCCUAUACAGGGGAUAGCAGCUGGAAACGGCUGGUAAGACCGCAUAAGUCGGUUAAAUCGCAUGAUUUGAUCGGGAAAUGAGCAAUCAGGUAUAGGAUGGGCCCGCGUCCGAUUAGCCAGUUGGCAGGGUAAAAGCCUACCAAAGCGACGAUCGGUAGCCGGACUGAGAGGUCGGACGGCCACAGUGGGACUGAGACACGGCCCAAACUCCUACGGGAGGCAGCAGUGGGGGAUAUUGCACAAUGGAGGAAACUCUGAUGCAGCGACGCCGCGUGAGUGAAGAAGUAUUUCGGUAUGUAAAGCUCUAUCAGCAGGGAAGAUGAUGACGGUACCUGACUAAGAAGCCCCGGCUAACUACGUG